GACGAACGCUGGCGGCGUGCCUAAUACAUGCAAGUAGAACGCUGAAGGAGGAGCUUGCUCCUCUGGAUGAGUUGCGAACGGGUGAGUAACGCGUAGGUAACCUGCCUGGUAGCGGGGGAUAACUAUUGGAAACGAUAGCUAAUACCGCAUAACAGUAGAUGUUGCAUGACAUUUGCUUAAAAGGUGCAAUUGCACCACUACCAGAUGGACCUGCGUUGUAUUAGCUAGUUGGUGGGGUAACGGCUCACCAAGGCGACGAUACAUAGCCGACCUGAGAGGGUGAUCGGCCACACUGGGACUGAGACACGGCCCAGACUCCUACGGGAGGCAGCAGUAGGGAAUCUUCGGCAAUGGACGGAAGUCUGACCGAGCAACGCCGCGUGAGUGAAGAAGGUUUUCGGAUCGUAAAGCUCUGUUGUAAGAGAAGAACGAGUGUGAGAGUGGAAAGUUCACACUGUGACGGUAUCUUACCAGAAAGGGACGGCUAACUACGUG
rnacentral:rRNA from 1 species